rnacentral:rRNA from 1 species
UACGAAGGGGGGCUAGCGUUGCUCGGAAUCACUGGGCGUAAAGCGCACGUAGGCGGCUUUUUAAGUCAGGGGUGAAAUCCUGGAGCUCAACUCCAGAACUGCCUUUGAUACUGAGAAGCUUGAGUCCGGGAGAGGUGAGUGGAACUGCGAGUGUAGAGGUGAAAUUCGUAGAUAUUCGCAAGAACACCAGUGGCGAAGGCGGCUCACUGGCCCGGUACUGACGCUGAGGUGCGAAAGCGUGGGGGAGCAAACA